AGCCCGGAGAUGGAUUCUGAGACACGAAUCCAGGCCCUACGGGGCGCAGCAGGCGCGAAAACUUUACAAUGCAGGCAACUGUGAUAAGGGAACCCCGAGUGCCCGUAUGGACGGGCUGUUCAGGUGCUUAAAAACCACCUGGAGAAAGGGCCGGGCAAGACCGGUGCCAGCCGCCGCGGUAAUACCGGCGGCUCGAGUGGUGGCCACUAUUACUGGGCUUAAAGCGUCCGUAGCUUGGUCGUUAAGCCUCUGGGGAAAUCUUCCGGCUUAACCGGAAGGCGUCUCAGGGGAACUGGCGACCUAGGGAUCGGGAGAGAUGAGAGGUACUCUGGGGGUAGGAGUGAAAUCCUGUAAUCCUCAGGGGACCACCUGUGGCGAAGGCGUCUCACCAGAACGACUCCGACAGUGAGGGACGAAAGCUGGGGGAGCAAACCGGAUUAGAUACCCGGGUAGUCCCAGCCGUAAACAAUGCGCGUUAGGUGAGUAUUGGGAAUUCCUGCAGC
rnacentral:rRNA from 1 species